rnacentral:rRNA from 1 species
UACGAAGGGUGCAAACGUUGCUCGGAAUUAUUGGGCGUAAAGCGCACGUAGGCGGCUUAGCAAGUCCCAUGUGAAAGCCCACGGCUUAACCGUGGAAGUGCAUGGGAAACUGCUGAGCUUGAGUACUUAAGAGGAUCGCGGAAUUCCCGGUGUAGAGGUGAAAUUCGUAGAUAUUCGCAAGAACACCAGUGGCGAAGGCGGACUUACUGGUCCGGUUCUGGACGCUGAGUGCGCGAAAAG